rnacentral:rRNA from 1 species
AUGAACGCUAGCUACAGGCUUAACACAUGCAAGUCGAGGGGCAGCAUGAACUUAGCUUGCUAAGUUUGAUGGCGACCGGCGCACGGGUGAGUAACACGUAUCCAACCUGCCGAUGACUCGGGGAUAGCCUUUCGAAAGAAAGAUUAAUACCCGAUGGCAUAGUUCUUCCGCAUGGUAGAACUAUUAAAGAAUUUCGGUCAUCGAUGGGGAUGCGUUCCAUUAGGUUGUUGGCGGGGUAACGGCCCACCAAGCCUUCGAUGGAUAGGGGUUCUGAGAGGAAGGUCCCCCACAUUGGAACUGAGACACGGUCCAAACUCCUACGGGAGGCAGCAGUGAGGAAUAUUGGUCAAUGGACGAGAGUCUGAACCAGCCAAGUAGCGUGAAGGAUGACUGCCCUAUGGGUUGUAAACUUCUUUUAUACGGGAAUAAAGUGAGGCACGUGUGCCUUUUUGUAUGUACCGUAUGAAUAAGGAUCGGCUAACUCCGUGCCAGCAGCCGCGGUAAUACGGAGGAUCCGAGCGUUAUCCGGAUUUAUUGGGUUUAAAGGGAGCGUAGGCGGACGCUUAAGUCAGUUGUGAAAGUUUGCGGCUCAACCGUAAAAUUGCAGUUGAUACUGGGUGUCUUGAGUACAGUAGAGGCAGGCGGAAUUCGUGGUGUAGCGGUGAAAUGCUUAGAUAUCACGAAGAACUCCGAUUGCGAAGGCAGCUUGCUGGACUGUAACUGACGCUGAUGCUCGAAAGUGUGGGUAUCAAACAGGAUUAGAUACCCUGGUAGUCCACACAGUAAACGAUGAAUACUCGCUGUUUGCGAUAUACAGUAAGCGGCCAAGCGAAAGCGUUAAGUAUUCCACCUGGGGAGUACGCCGGCAACGGUGAAACUCAAAGGAAUUGACGGGGGCCCGCACAAGCAGUGGAGUAUGUGGUUUAAUUCGAAGCAACGCGAAGAACCUUACCAAGUCUUGACAUCCCUUGACGAACAUAGAAAUAUGUUUUCUCUUCGGAGCAAGGAGACAGGUGGUGCAUGGUUGUCGUCAGCUCGUGUCGUGAGAUGUUGGGUUAAGUCCCGCAACGAGCGCAACCCCUGUUGCCAGUUGCCAGCAUUAAGUUGGGGACUCUGGCGAGACUGCCGGUGACAAGCCGGAGGAAGGCGGGGAUGACGUCAAAUCAUCAUGCCCCUUAUGACCUGGGCUACACACGUGCUACAAUGGACAGAGCAGAGGGAAGCGAAGCCGCGAGGCAGAGCAAACCCCAGAAACCCGAUCUCAGUUCGGAUUGAAGGCUGAAACUCGCCUUCAUGAAGCCGGAAUUGCUAGUAAUGGCAGGUCAGCAUACUGCCGUGAAUACGUUCCCGGGCCUUGUACACACCGCCCGUCACACCAUGAGAGUUGGGGAUACCCGAAGCCUGUGAGCCAACAGUUAAAUGGGGCAGCAGUCGAAGGUAGAAUCAAUGAUUGGGGUG